rnacentral:rRNA from 1 species
UGGGGAAUUUUGCACAAUGGGCGCAAGCCUGAUGCAGCCAUGCCGCGUGUAUGAAGAAGGCCUUCGGGUUGUAAAGUACUUUCAGUCGGGAGGAAGGUGUCAAGGUUAAUAACCUUGGCAAUUGACGUUACCGACAGAAGAAGCACCGGCUAAUCCCGUGCCAGCAGCCGCGGUAAUCCGGAGGGUGCAAGCGUUAAUCGGAAUUACUGGGCGUAAAGCGCACGCAGGCGGUUGAUUGAGUCAGAUGUGAAAUCCCCGGGCUUAACCCGGGAAUUGCAUCUGAUACUGGUCAGCUAGAGUCUUGUAGAGGGGGGUAGAAUUCCAUGUGUAGCGGUGAAAUGCGUAGAGAUGUGGAGGAAUACCGGUGGCGAAGGCGGCCCCCUGGACAAAGACUGACGCUCAGGUGCGAAAGCGUGGGGAGCAAACAGG